rnacentral:rRNA from 1 species
GAUGAACGCUGGCGGCGUGCUUAACACAUGCAAGUCGAACGGAAAGGCUCCUGCUUGCAGGGGUACUCGAGUGGCGAACGGGUGUGUAACACGUGGGUGAUCUGCCCUGCACUUCGGGAUAAGCCUGGGAAACUGGGUCUAAUACCGGAUAGGACCACAUUUUGGAUGGUGUGGUGGAAAGUUUUUCGGUGUUGGAUGAGCUCGCGGCCUAUCAGCUUGUUGGUGGGGUAAUGGCCUACCAAGGCGUCGACGGGUAGCCGGCCUGAGAGGGUGUACGGCCACAUUGGGACUGAGAUACGGCCCAGACUCCUACGGGAGGCAGCAGUGGGGAAUAUUGCACAAUGGGCGCAAGCCUGAUGCAGCGACGCCGCGUGGGGGAUGACGGCCUUCGGGUUGUAAACUCCUUUCGCUAGGGACGAAGCGCAAGUGACGGUACCUGGAGAAGAAGCACCGGCUAACUACGUG